UCCCUCAUAGCUCAGUCGGUAAAGAAUCUGCCUGCAAUGCAGGAGACCUGGGUUCGAUUCCUGGGUUGGGAA
rnacentral:tRNA from 1 species